rnacentral:snRNA from 1 species
AUAAAAAAAAAAAAAGAAACA